CUUCACCGACCCCAGCCACAACGGCCGUUCACGGCCCUGCCCGUACGUCGCGAGCAGCGCCUGCGCCUC
rfam:Streptomyces sp. DI166 genome assembly, contig: Ga0115233_1034